rfam:Triticum aestivum genome assembly, contig: Triticum_aestivum_CS42_TGACv1_scaffold_500849_6BL
CAGAUACUCCCUCCCUCCGAAAAUACUUGUCGGAGAAAUGAGUGUAUCUAGAUGUAUUUUAAUUCUAGAUACAUUCAUUUUCAUCAAUUUAUGCGACAAUUAAUUCCGGACGAAGGGAGUACAUG